AGAGUUUGAUCCUGGCUCAGGAUGAACGCUGGCGGCGUGCUUGAUACAUGCAAGUCGAACGGAGAGUGUAGCAAUAUACUUUUAGUGGCGAACGGGUGAGUAACGCGUUGGUGACCUGCCCCGAAGCGAGGGAUAACAGUUCGAAAGAACUGCUAAUACCUCAUGUGAUCACCGGUUUUAGAAUCUGGUGAUUAAAGGUGAAAAUCACUUCGGGAGGGGCCUGCGUCCCAUCAGCUAGUUGGUAAGGUAAUGGCUUACCAAGGCGAUGACGGGUAGGGGACCUGAGAGGGUGGCCCCCCACAAUGGAACUGAAACACGGUCCAUACACCUACGGGUGGCAGCAGUAGGGAAUAUUGGUUAAUGGGCGAAAGCCUGAACCAGCAACGCCGCGUGUGCGAUGAAGGCCUUCGGGUUGUAAAGCACUUUUAGUAGGGACGAGGAAGGACGGUACCUACAGAAUAAGCCUCGGCUAACUACGUGCCAGCAGCCGCGGUAACACGUAGGAGGCAAGCGUUAUUCGGAUUUACUGGGCGUAAAGCGCGUGCAGGCGGUUUGGAAAGUUGGAUGUGAAAGCUCCUGGCUCAACUGGGAGAGGUCGUUCAAAACUUCCAGACUUGAGAGUGGUAGAGGGAGGUGGAAUUCCGGGUGUAGUGGUGAAAUGCGUAGAUAUCCGGAGGAACACCAGUGGCGAAAGCGGCCUCCUGGCCCAUUUCUGACGCUCAGACGCGAAAGCUAGGGUAGCAAACGGGAUUAGAGACCCCGGUAGUCCUAGCUGUAAACGAUGUGAACUUGGCGUUGGUGGGUUUAAAUCCAUCAGUGCCGAAGCUAACGCGAUAAGUUCACCGCCUGGGGACUACGGCCGCAAGGUUA
rnacentral:rRNA from 1 species